rnacentral:rRNA from 1 species
UACAGAGGUCUCAAGCGUUGUUCGGAUUCAUUGGGCGUAAAGGGUGCGUAGGCGGCGCGGUAAGUCGGGGGUGAAAUCCUGGGGCUCAACCUCAGAAUUGCCUCCGAUACUGGCAGUCUCGAGUGCGGGAGAGGUGAGUGGAAUUCCCAGUGUAGAGGUGAAAUUCGUAGAUAUUGGGAAGAACACCAGUGGCGAAGGCGGCUCACUGGCCCGUAACUGACGCUGAGGUGCGAAAGCGUGGGGAGCAAACAGG